CCUAAUCAAUGGCUUCCAAGAAGCACUCUCUUAUUUUGAUGGUUCUCUUUCUUUCUGUGUUGCUCCUUUCUGUUGAAGCAACCACAAGGAAACUUGGUGGCGCUUCGGUCCUUCAUAUAUUUUCACAAGGGAGGAAACUUGCUAGCAAUCGAUGUUUGGUAGGUGUCAUGCCAAAGUCUGAUGUGCCUCGUUGUCACCAUUACUAAUCUCAAGUCUCAAAUAUAGUGUAAAUCUAUAUUACACAAAAUCUAAUAAAUAAGUCACGCAUUUUAUGACUUAUAAAUGCGUGACUUGUUAUACUAGUUUUUAUACUAUAUUAUUACAUAUAUGUGUUUGAGUAUUUGUAAUUAAUGUAGUGGAUAUGGUCUGUUUGGGAAAUGAUGAACAUUUGGUCUUUUUAAUUGUAUAUUCCUCCUAUUUAUAUGGCAGUGAGAGAAGGAUUGUUUGUUCU